AUUGAACGCUGGCGGCAGGCCUAACACAUGCAAGUCGAGCGGAGCGGCGGACGGGUGAGUAAUACCUAGGAAUCUGCCUGGUAGUGGGGGAUAACGUCCGGCAACGGGCGCUAAUACCGCAUGCUAUCAGAUGAGCCUAGGUCGGAGUAGCUUGUUGGUGGGGUAAAGGCCUACCAAGGCGACGAUCCGUAACUGGUCGGAGAGGAUGAUCAGUCACACUGGAACUGAGACACGGUCCAGACUCCUACGGGAGGCAGCAGUGGGGAAUAGUGGACAAUGGGCGAAAGCCUGAUCCAGCCAUGCCGCGUGUGUGAAGAAGGUCUUCGGAUUGUAAAGCACUUUAAGUUGGGAGGCGUUACCAACAGAAUAAGCACCGGCUAACUUCGUGCCAGCAGCCGCGGUAAUUC
rnacentral:rRNA from 1 species